rnacentral:tRNA from 1 species
GGAGGGUUACUCAAGUGGUGAAGAGGACGGUUUGCUAAACCGUUAGGUGUGAAAGCACGCGAGGGUUCGAAUCCCUUGCCCUCCGCCA